rnacentral:lncRNA from 1 species
ACCGCGUUUUUGCUGCGUCACAGGGAGACAGAAGAUGGGCUGCUAUUUCGUCGGCUAAAUGCUAUCAUUUUAAGCACCGUUCCAAAGAAAACAGGGAUCUUGCCAGAGGAAAAUAACAUAUACCAUAAAGGAAAAAGAAAUGUGCAUCAAGGCAAAUAAACAGCUCUCUACUAAGGGCCUAGGAUCUUGCUAGACGAGUCAUUUCUCUGGUUGAAAAGCAGUUGAGAAAGGCAAGACAAGGGGGGCGGGGGCCCAGCAGGGCACCUCUGAGCCCUUCCUGCUGCUCUUCAAAGACAGACGCAUUUUCCUUUCUACGGUCUCCUUGCAAGUCUUCUGUAGGCCCUGCCACCUUCAGGCUGACUGACUGCCUCCUUCAAAUAUCAGCAUUUGGUGAGUUCCCACCAUGUCCCAGGCCCUGCGCUGGGUGCUAGGACGCAGGAGGGGGCAAAACAGGCCAGGCCUUGCCUUUCUGAGCUUGCUGCAGGCAGAGCAGACAAGAGGCCUUUGUCCUUGGGCCCUGGUAUGGAGCAUCUAAAAACCCUUGGAAUUUCCUGAGAGAUUGGAGUGUCUUUGUUAUGCUAAUGAAGUGACUCACUGUUGGCCCCUGGGUGGUUUUAGGAUGGGGAGGCUGGUCGCCAGAAAGACCAGGCACAGGACCAGAGAGUUGGGGACUUGGAGCUAGCCUGACCUCCAGAUGGGGGUGGGGGGGUGUUGGAGACUGAGUUCAAUCGUGAGGCCAAUGUGUUAAUUAAUCAUAUCUACAUAACAAAACACAAUAAAAAUCCUGGACACUGAAGCUCAGCAGAGCUUUGUGCUGGUGGACAGAUGGAUGUGCUGGAAGGAGACCCCUGCUGACCCCUGCUGACUCCAUGACAGAGGGAUGGAAAUUCUGCCCCUCCCAGACCUCACCCUAUGCGUUCUGUUUCCUUUAUAAUGAAAGCACAAUUAGAGGAAGGGUACUGGGGAGUCGACACCCUCAUGUCUGUGAGCUGACUGCAGGACGUCUCCUGUCCAGGUGCUGGCACCUCAUCUAACAUUUGAAGGCUCAGAAGAAAAGCCACGUCUGCCUACACAAUCUCACAAUCCGGCUUCAGCAAAGCAUGAGUUAAUUCAACUUCAUACUCGUGAACGUGAAGCGGGGGUUGGAAGGAAUGAAGGCUGCAGGACACCCAUGUACCAAGAAAAAGAAAGACAAAUUGGUUGUUUUAUCUACUUUACAUCAUGAUGGAGUCCUAAAAAGGGCCCCAUGAAGGCAGGCAGCCCAGGGAGGAAUGACUGGACGGUGACAUUGUGCAGGGGGUCUGGAAGUUGCCAGCGCAGGGGUUAGCAGCUGCAGCCUGGCCUGGUCCUGUCUGCCUGGCUGUCAAACCCAGAAGACCGUGGUUUCUGGUGGCCUCUGUGUGACAGCGGAGGAGGUGGGGCGAGGCCUGGAAGUGAAGCAUCUCGUGAGCCACUUAAGUGUUUAUGAAGCUCGCUAAUGUGCUUAAAUGAACGAGAAGCAGGUACUUGCUCCCAGGACCAGAGCCACCAAAGCAAUUUCCUCUGCAGCCCCUCAUACUUCGCACACUGGAAGCUUGCAUUCUUUCCCAGAGGACAGCCGGAUUACAGCACCGCCUCUAAUGCAACCCGAUCUGGUUUCUUUGAGCGCCGCGGUGAACGUGCAAUCUAUCUCAUAAAUGCAUCGCAGUGUUCCACAAAUCACCCACGUUCAUCCCUUGAGACGUCUUUAACUCGGGGCUUAGAGUUGCAAAUGAAUUCUCCUAUGGAUCUAUUAUUCCAUCAAAUAGCGGAGAGAGGGGACUAGCUUGUGCAGAGCCUUCAUAGAGCUGGGCUAAAUUCGAUUAUGCAAAGUCUAACGAGCACCAUUCAGCAAAACCAUGGUGGGUGUGAGCUGCAGGCCAGCCCCUCCACUGGGCCAUUAUCCAGGGGUAAACACCACUCGUGGGUUAGUUCCACGAGUUACUGGCUGAUUUGACCUGUGAUACUCCAAGGUGGAAGUAACCAAAUAAUAUGUAUCAUGAGCCCCAAGAACGAAGCCAGUGGAGAGUGGUACAUGCUAGAGGGUAACGCCUGGCCCUUUGCAGGACAGCACGUCAGCCAUGCGCCAUGGGACGAUGGUGGUGGCUGGGACACAGGAGGCCACGGCAGGAAAUGGGCAGGUGGGUGGGUCUAUGUAAGCUGGCUUUAGACUUCAAUCCACAAGCAUUUGCAGCUCAACUACUCAGCGUCUUAUCUUAUUUAAUCCUUUCAGCAAUAAACACUCUUUUCACAUGUAGUAAGGUUAAGGAGUCUACAUCACACCCUUUAUCAUUAUUAAUAAAGGGACACACCCUCCAGGGAUCCUAGGGAACCUCCUACCCACCCUGUGGUCACUCUAGGGAAAGGAAAGCUCUCAGGGACCGACGGGAGCCUGGGCACAUGCGCCACCACUCUCUCCUUUAUCCCCUCUAGCCCGGCUUGCUGGCUCUCACUUUCUUUUGUGCACUAGAACUCACGUACAAGUUGCACACCCAAACCCUUGCAUGCUGCAUUUCAGAGUCAACUUCAGUGAUUUUUGAGAGUGAUUUUGACAAUCCCAGUCAAAAUUCUAGCAGGUUUUUUUUUUUUACAUGACAAGUGGAUUCUAAAAUUCAUAGGAAAAUGCAAAUGACCUAGAAGAGCCAAAGCAAUUUUGGAAGGAGUAAAGUCGAAUGGCUGACGCUACCAGAUUUCAAGAUUCACUUGAAACGCACAGGAAUCAAGACAGGGUGGUGUCGACAGAAGGAAGGCGUCAGAGCAGGGUGACAGGAGGCAGGGCCACACACAGACGGCUGAUUGAUACCCGACAAAACCGCCGAGGUAAUUUCACAGGGAAAGGAACUCUUUUGAACAAAUGGUGCACCAACAAUUGGAUAACCAUACGGAAAAAAUUUAAAAAACAGAAGAACAUUGACCCUUCACGCACAUCAAACAUAAAUUAACUCAGAAUCCAUCAUAGGCUGGGUGUUGUGGCUCAUGCCUUUAAUCCUAGCACUUUGGGAGGCCAAGGCAGGCGGAUCACCUGAGGUCAGGAGUUUGAGACCAGCCUGGCCAACAUGGUAAAA